AUUGAACGCUGGCGGCAGGCCUAACACAUGCAAGUCGAGCGGAUGAAGGGAGCUUGCUCCUGGAUUCAGCGGCGGACGGGUGAGUAAUGCCUACGAAUCUGCCUGGUAGUGGGGGAUAACGUCCGGAAACGGGCGCUAAUACCGCAUACGUCCUGAGGGAGAAAGUGGGGGAUCUUCGGACCUCACGCUAUCAGAUGAGCCUAGUUCGGAUUAGCUAGUUGGUAGGGUAAAGGCCUACCAAGGCGACGAUCCGUAACUGGUCUGAGAGGAUGAUCAGUCACACUGGAACUGAGACACGGUCCAGACUCCUACGGGAGGCAGCAGUGGGGAAUAUUGGACAAUGGGCGAAAGCCUGAUCCAGCCAUGCCGCGUGUGUGAAGAAGGUCUUCGGAUUGUAAAGCACUUUAAGUUGGGAGGAAGGGCAGUAAGAUAAUACCUUGCUGUUUUGACGUUACCAACAGAAUAAGCACCGGCUAACUUCGUG
rnacentral:rRNA from 1 species